rnacentral:rRNA from 1 species
UACAGAGGUGGCAAGCGUUGUUCGGAAUUACUGGGCGUAAAGGGCGCGUAGGCGGUCUUGUAAGUCUUGUGUGAAAUCCCUCGGCUUAACUGAGGAACUGCACGAGAUACUGCGAGACUUGAGUUCGGGAGAGGAAAGCGGAAUUCCGGGUGUAGCGGUGAAAUGCGUAGAUAUCCGGAGGAACACCGGUGGCGAAGGCGGCUUUCUGGACCGACACUGACGCUGAGGCGCGAAAGCGUGGGGAGCAAACAGG